rnacentral:rRNA from 1 species
GACGUAGGAUGCGAGCGUUAUCCGGAAUUAUUGGGCGUAAAGAGUUCGUAGGUGGUUUGUUAAGUAGGAUGUUAAAUCUUUGAGCUCAACUCAAAAUUGGUAUCCUAAACUGGCAGGCUAGAGACAGGUAGAGGUAGAUAGAAUUCUGUAUGUAGGGGUAAUAUCCGUAGAUAUACAGAGGAAUACCAAAAGCGAAGGCAGUCUACUGGACCUGUUCUGACACUCAAGAACGAAAGCGUGGGGAGCAAACGGG